rnacentral:rRNA from 1 species
AACGUAGGUUCCGAGCGUUAUCCGGAUUUACUGGGCGUAAAGGGUGCGUAGGCGGCGCGGUAAGUCGGGUGUGAAAUCUCGGAGCUUAACUCCGAAACUGCAUUCGAUACUGCCGUGCUUGAGGACUGGAGAGGAGACUGGAAUUUACGGUGUAGCGGUGAAAUGCGUAGAUAUCGUAAGGAAGACCAGUGGCGAAGGCGGGUCUCUGGACAGUUCCUGACGCUGAGGCACGAAGGUCAGGGGAGCAAACGGG